UUGAACGCUGGCGGCAGGCCUAACACAUGCAAGUCGAGCGGAUGAAGGGAGCUUGCUCCUGGAUUCAGCGGCGGACGGGUGAGUAAUGCCUAGGAAUCUGCCUGGUAGUGGGGGAUAACGUCCGGAAACGGGCGCUAAUACCGCAUACGUCCUGAGGGAGAAAGUGGGGGAUCUUCGGACCUCACGCUAUCAGAUGAGCCUAGGUCGGAUUAGCUAGUUGGUGGGGUAAAGGCCUACCAAGGCGACGAUCCGUAACUGGUCUGAGAGGAUGAUCAGUCACGCUGGAACUGAGACACGGUCCAGACUCCUACGGGAGGCAGCAGUGGGGAAUAUUGGACAAAGGGCGAAAGCCUGAUCCAGCCAUGCCGCGUGUGUGAAGAAGGUCUUCGGAUUGUAAAGCACUUUAAGUUGGGAGGAAGGGCAGUAAGUUAAUACCUUGCUGUUUUGACGUUACCAACAGAAUAAGCACCGGCUAACUUCGUG
rnacentral:rRNA from 1 species